rnacentral:piRNA from 2 species
UGGGUAUUUUUCUUCCCUUCGUUCUUGGGC